rnacentral:rRNA from 1 species
CCUACGGGAGGCAGCAGUGAGGAAUAUUGGUCAAUGGCCGGAAGGCUGAACCAGCCAAGUCGCGUGAGGGAAUAAGGCCCUAUGGGCCGUAAACCUCUUUUGUCAGGGAGCACAGGCGCCCACGUGUGGACGAGUGGAGAGUACCUGCAGAAAAAGCAUCGGCUAACUCCGUACCAGCAGCCGCGGUCAUACGGAGGAUGCGAGCGUUAUCGGGAUUUAUUGGGUUUAAAGGGUGCGUAGGCGGAGUGUCAAGUCAGCGGUAAAAUUUCGGGGCUCAACCCCGUCGUGCCGUUGAAUCUGACGCACUUGAGUGAGUGAGAGGUAAGCGGAAGGCGUGGUGUAGCAGUGAAAUGCGUAGAUAUCACGCAGAACGCCGAUUGCGAAGGCAGCUUACCGGCGCUCAACUGACGCUGAGGCGCGAAAGUGCGGGUAUCGAACAGGAUUAGAUACCCUUGUAGUC